rnacentral:lncRNA from 1 species
GUUGGGUAAGUUACAUCAAAAUGGGUCUGUUGGUUUGGUGGUUAAAUGGUGUGUUAUUAUGGUGGAGGUCAUAGGUUCGAAUCUUGGGGACAGUAAGGGUUGUAUUUUUUUGCUCCUAAUUUCGGCAAGAGUUGUGCUAAACUGGGUUUCUGAGUGGUGGAUGUGUAGUUGAAAGUGGGGGAGCGAUUUUAAGAGUGAAUUAGGAGAUUAUAGGGGAGUAUAUCUAAAAUCUAAUCAUUUUUUUCCUUUUUCGUAAAAAAGAGAAUCGUUUUUCUCUCCAUCUUUCUAAUGUUUUCUCCUCCCAUCUCUAUCAAAAUUUUCUUUUUUCUUUACUUCUUACUCGAUUAUCUUUUCUUUUC